rnacentral:rRNA from 1 species
UACGAGGGGGGCUAGCGUUGCUCGGAUUCAUUGGGCGUAAAGGGUGCGUAGGUGGCGCGGUAAGUCGGGUGUGAAAUUUCGGAGCUUAACUCCGAAACUGCAUUCGAUACUGCCGUGCUUGAGGACUGGAGAGGAGACUGGAAUUUACGGUGUAGCAGUGAAAUGCGUAGAGAUCGUAAGGAAGACCAGUGGCGAAGGCGGGUCUCUGGACAGUUCCUGACACUGAGGCACGAAGGCCAGGGGAGCAAACGGG